AGCUCCAAUAGCGUAUAUUAAAGUUGUUGCAGUUAAAAGCUCGUAGUCGGAUUUCGGGGCGGGGCGAGCGGUCUGCCGAUGGGUAUGCACUGUUCGGCGCGUCCUUCUUUCCGGAGACCGGUCCUACUCUUAGCUGAGCGGGGUCGGGAGACGGAAUAUUUACUUUGAAAAAUCAGAGUGUUUAACGCGGGCAUCUCGCUUUUGAAUGGAUUAGCAUGGGAUAAUGAAAUAGGACUCGGGUGCUAUUUUGUUGGUUUCGAAAACCGGAGUAAUGAUUAAAAGGGACAGUCAGGGGCACUAGUAUUCUGUUGAGAGAGGUGAAAUUCUCAGACCAAUGGAAGACGAACCACUGCGAAAGCAUUUGCCAGGGAUGUUUUCA
rnacentral:rRNA from 1 species